rnacentral:rRNA from 1 species
AUUGAACGCUGGCGGCAGGCCUAACACAUGCAAGUCGAACGAGUGGCGGACGGGUGAGUAAUGUCUGGGAAACGGCCCGAUGGAGGGGGAUAACUACUGGAAACGGUAGCUAAUACCGCAUACCAUCGGAUGUGCCCAGAUGGGAUGAGAUUGUAGGUGAGGUAACGGCUCACCUAGGGGACGAGCCCUAGCUGGGCUGAGAGGAUGACCCGCCACACUGGAACUGAGACACGGUCCAGACUCCUACGGGAGGGAGCAGUGGGGAAUAUGGCGCAAUGGGCGCAAGCCUGAUGCAGCCAUGCCGCGUGUAUGAAGAAGGCGUUCGGGUUGUAAAGUACUUUCAGCUGGGAGGCGUUACCCGCAGAAGAAGCACCGGCUAACUCCGUGCCAGCAGCCGCUGUAAUAC